rnacentral:rRNA from 1 species
CAAAACAUGGCUUCUCGAAUUUAGUUUAUGUGAAGUCGUACCUGCCCAGUGAAGUUUUAACGGCCGCGGUACUCUGACCGUGCAAAGGUAGCAUAAUAAUUUGCCUUAUAAUUGAAGGCUGGAAUGAAUGGUUUGUCAAGGAUAAAACUGUCUCUAUAAAAUUUCAUAGAAUUUUAUUUUUAGGUGAAAAAGCCUAAAUUUUAUUAAAAGACAAGAAGACCCUAUCGAGCUUUAAAAAACUUGAUAAAUAUUAACAACUAAUUAGAAGUUUAAUUAUAAAAAAUUUUGGUUGGGGCAACCUAGGAGUAAAUAAAGCCUCCUUUAUUAAAAAAACUGCUUUGUUAGGAUCCAAAAAUUUUGAUCAAAAGAAAUAGUUACCGUAGGGAUAACAGCAUUAUUUUUUUUGAGAGCUCUUAUCGAAAAAAAAGUUUGUGACCUCGAUGUUGGACCAGAAUAUCCUGAAGAUGUAGAAGUCUUCAAGGGUUGGUCUGUUCGACCAUUAAAAUUCUACGUGAUC